rnacentral:tRNA from 1 species
AAGCGUGGCCGAGUGGUUGAAGGCACCGGUCUUGAAAACCGGCGACCGAAAGGUUCGUGGGUUCGAAUCCCACCGCUUCC